UACGGGGGGGGCAAGCGUUGUUCGGAAUUACUGGGCGUAAAGGGCGCGUAGGCGGGUCGCUAAGUUGAAUGUGAAAACUCUGGGCUUAACCCAGAGCCUGCAUUCAAUACUGGCGGGCUAGAGUUCUGGAGGGGAUAGCGGAAUUCCUGGUGUAGCGGUGAAAUGCGUAGAUAUCAGGAGGAACACCGGUGGCGAAGGCGGCUAUCUGGACAGAGUCUGACGCUGAGGCGCGAAAGCUAGGGGAGCAAACAGG
rnacentral:rRNA from 1 species